GAACUUACAAUGUGUAUAAGUUCUAAUUCCUACCCGAAAACUUGCUUGCUUAUCCUAUUUUUGACAAUGAAGACACAGAGCUGCAUUGUUGAUUUCGAACUCCCAUUUGAGUAAUAAUCAUUAAUCUUCUGUAUCAUGAGAGAUAAAAUUACAAAAAUUCUAGCAAAACAUUCACCCUCGUUUGUUUCAGGAAAGAGUUUUGUACAAGGAGCAGUUUCUUUUGAACCUGUUAUCUCUAACUGACGCCCUGCCCCGCUAUGCCAUCUGCUUACCUCAGC
rnacentral:misc_RNA from 1 species